rnacentral:rRNA from 1 species
GACAGAGGGUGCAAACGUUGUUCGGAAUUACUGGGCGUAAAGCGCGUGUAGGCGGUUAUGCAAGUCGGGUGUGAAAGCCCGGAGCUCAACUCCGGAAGUGCAUUCGAUACUGCGUAGCUAGAGUACUGGAGAGGAUGGUGGAACUCUCGGUGUAGAGGUGAAAUUCGUAGAUAUCGAGAAGAACACCGGUGGCGAAGGCGGCCAUCUGGACAGAUACUGACGCUGAGGUGCGAAAGCGUGGGGAGCAAACAGG